UCCUUCCGGCGGGAAAGAGCUCCUUCCGGUUUCCGGGUGUGGGGAGGAAGUCCCUCCCCCCAUGCAACAGCGUAACAUAGCGGGACGCGCCCGCGGAGUUCUGGAACCAGAAAGUCCGAAAUGAAGGUGUCAGCAGGAUCACGCUUCCUCUGAAACUCUGGCCCGAUCAACCAAAUGGACUGUAGUUGCUCUGCAUUGUUACCCAUGAGGUUCAACCAUCAGAACAUUUGGGGUUUGGUCCUGGCUGUGCCCUUCGAACCUUGAAAGAGACCCUUUAAAGUCAUUCUAAGAUGCUUGUCUGUACUUAUUCUUUGAGAGGAUCAAGAUGAAUGAAAAUGAUAUCAGAGAAAACCUCAGACCGUCAUGAAUGAAUAAAGAGGACAAACAAAAACCAGAACAGUUCCAGUGGCUACCAGAGAAGAGGUGGAUGGAAGGAUGGGUGAAAUAGAUAAAUGCGAUUAAGAGUAUACUCACCUUGACGAGCCCCGAGAAAGUCACAGAAUCGUCGGAUCAUCAUGUUGUACGCCUGAAACUAAUAUAACAUUGUGGGAUGUCUGGAGAAGACAGGUCUCCACUGAUGACCGGCAGAAGGAACUGGCACCCCCCCCCUCCCUGCGCAAACAGGUGUCAGUGGACCUGAACUUGACUGUGGAUAGGUGUGACCUCAGGCCAUCCUGAGUGGGCAUGGCGGCUUCAGAAAUGGUCAUUAAACUAUAUUGCAAAGCUGGA